rnacentral:lncRNA from 1 species
UCAGUGACAAAGACAGACACUACCUCAGACUAAAAUGCUAGAAAACAAAUUUCCAAGUUAAUGAUCCCAAGAAACAAGCUAGAGUAUCUACUCUAAUAUCUAAUAAAAUUGACUUUCAAUCUAAAGUUAUCAAAAUAGAUAAGAAGAGACACUUCAUACUUAUCAAAGGUAACAUAUACCAAGAUAAGCUCUCAAUUCUGAAUAUCUAUGCUCCAAAUGCAAGGGUACCCACCCACAUUCAUAAAAGAAACUUUACUAAGUUCAAAGCAUAUAUUGCAUAGCACUCAAUAAUAGUGGGAGACUUCAACACCCCACUCUCCUCAAUGGACAUAUCAUAGAAACAGAAACUGAACAGAGACACAGUAAAACUACAAGGAGUUAUGAAACAAAUGGAGUGAACAGAUAUCUAUAGAACAUUUUAUCCUAAAACAAAAGGCAUCUUAUGGUACCAUUACCAAAGUUGACAAUAAACUCUGUUACAAAACAAGCCUUAACAAGGAGGAAGGCCCAAGUGUGCAUACCUGAAGCUCUCUUUGAAGGGUAACAAAAUAAUUGUGGCCAGUAGAUGGAGGAAAGUGAAGCAAAUUCAUCCAAGAGGAAUAGAUAGCAGGAAAUAAUCAAAAUCAGGGCUGAAAUCAACCAAGUGAAAAUAAAAAGAACUAUACAAAUAAUCAACCAAACAAGGAGCUGGUUCUUUGAGAAAAUCUGACCAAAAUAGAUAAACCCUUAGCCAGACUAACUAGAGAGUACAGAGACAGUUGCCUAAUUACCAAAUCAUAAAUGAAAGAGGAGACAUAACAACAGAAACUGAGGGAAUCAAAAAAAAAUCAUCAUAUACUACUACAAAAGCCUUUACUCAACAAAACUGGAAAACCUGGAUGCAAUGGACAUAUUUCUAGAGAGAUGCUAGGUAUCAAAGUUAAAUCAGAUCAGAUUAAUGAUCAGAUUAAUGAUCUAAACAGUCCCAUGUCCCCUAAAGGAAUAGAAACAGUAAUUAAAAGUCUCCC